GCGGGCGUAGCUCAGUUGGUAGAGCACAACCUUGCCAAGGUUGGGGUCGCGAGUUCGAGCCUCGUCGCCCGCUCCA
rnacentral:tRNA from 1 species